rnacentral:misc_RNA from 1 species
GAACGCACCUUGCACCCUUUGGCAUUCCGAAGGGUAUGCUCGUUUGAGUGUCAUUGUACUCUCACACUCCCAAUGCUUUUGGAUUGGGAGCGGUGGACUUGGGUGUUGCUGCUUUGCUGUGGCUCGCCUCAAAUGGAGUAGUGCAACUCUCGGUUGGACAUAGUACGGCGUGAUAAGUAUCUUCGCCGGCGCCUCACUUCGAGGGUGGCCGAUCGGGAGCUCUGUGCUUCAAACCGUCUUCGGACAAUAUUUGACAACUUGACCUCAAAUCGAGUAGGACUACCCGCUGAACUUA